GGGCGAAUAGUUCAGCUGGCUAGAGCGCCUGCCUUACAAGCAGGAAGUCGCAGGUUCGAGUCCUGCUUCGCCC
rnacentral:tRNA from 1 species